GAAACCUCUCUGAGCACUGAUUGGCCUGGCCUGUACAGACAGGCCCUAGGGGUUAGGGAAAAAGCCCAUGUGGUAUUUCCAGGUAACUGCAGGAGACAGAGGAGAAUGUGCCACGUCAGGCUGGGGCUUGAAAUUUCUCAAGUUUAUCACCAUAAUCUAUCUUUGUGACAUACCUUUCCUCCUGCAAGGCACUUUCCCACAUAUCAGCUCACUUCAUCUUCACGGUGCUCAAGUAAGGUAGGCCAUGUGGCUAUCACGUCCCUCAUAUGGCACUGACAGACUGUCAAGGUCAUACCAGGGAGAACACUGGGCAGGCCCAAGGCAUUGUUGCCUUUGCCACUCUGUUACCCAGAGUUGCCGUAGCUUGGAAUCAUUGCUUUUGGAGGAUCUAUUUGGUCUAGAAAAUGUGGGUACAGCCCAGGGUCAUGUGGGCAUGUCAGGAGGUAGCCACACAAGCCACAGGAUGCUGGGAAUGAAAUGCCCCCAGUUAAGAGGGACUGUCCUCUCAGGAUUUCAAAGCACUUCUGGUGUCUCAAUAAUCACGUUUGUCUGGUGGAUGGAUCCCUGCUUUUCAAACAUCAACUAAAAAUAUAAAACCAGAGAGGUACCUGGCUGGCUUAGUUGGUAGAGCAUGUGACUCUUGAUCUCAGGGUUGUGAGUUCAAGCCCAUGUUGGGCAUAGAGCUUACUUUAAAAAAAAAAAAAAAAGUAAAGUCAGUGAGUCAUUUUAUAACUAGAAUGAUCAUCCUGUUUUAUCGUCUCUUCUAAAAUUUCGGUUUUUAUAAAUGAAGUUUCCCAAAGUGGUUACAUAUAUAAAGGAAGAAAAGGAGAAAAGCAAGUUCUGUUCUUGUAUAUUCCAAAGAAAUAGCUACUAUAUACUAGUCAGGGCUUACUAUGUGCUGGACACUCUUUUAAGUCAUUAAACACAUUAUCUCAUUUAAUUUUUAUAAGCACUCCAUAUGGCAUUACCCUUCUUAGGGGUGGACCAGGGUUUUUGAGGCUCAGAAGCUUAUAAAGUUGGAGGCCCUCUUCUGUAAUCAUACAAUUGCAAACUAUAUGUAAAUUUUAACUAUAUGAUUAUAAACACUGUACAGAGUUAGAUACAGAACCUUGGCAAAUAAGGGUUCCUAGUUUCAUGGCCUGGUCUGCAAAUGCACAAAUUGAAUGUCCGAAAGGCUAAGUCAUUGUCUAAAGUCACACAGCUCAUAAUCAGUGGGAUUUAAAGGCAGGUCUGCUCAGCUCUUCAUCAUCAUGUUAUCCUUCUCUGAGAAUGAGAACACACACACAUAGUGUGUACAUAGUGUAUACACACACUAUGUACAGCACUGUUCUAAGCACUUCACAUAUUUUAACAUCAUUUCAUUCUCACACAACACUAUGAUGUUGUGGAAAUUGGGGCACAGAGGUUAAAUAACUUGCUCAAAGUUACACAGCAGUCAAUGGGAACCCUAAGAGACAAUGAGAAUGGGUUUGCUGAGACAUACAGUUUGAGCUUGCAUUAAAUAGAAUGCAUACCCCCAGGCCCCUUCAGUACCAAAUACUCUUAAAAGGAAAAUUGAACCUGAGCUUCUUGCUUCAUGGCUUCUC
ensembl:lncRNA